rfam:Mycobacterium sp. 852002-51759_SCH5129042 contig_82, whole genome shotgun sequence.
AGCGCCACCGGGUCCACGCCGCGGGUGACCACGAGGUAGUCGCGCAUCACGAUGCCGUGGCGGUUCUC